rnacentral:rRNA from 1 species
AUGGCUACUAGCACUAAGCUUGUAGCCCUUGGCUUUGUUGUCCUCGUGAGCCUUGGGUUCACCAAUGCUUCAAGGAUGCUAACUAGCUCUAGUGCUGCAGGGGGGGGCGUGGGAGGAGGAGGUGGUGGCAGCUCGUCGGGUGGGACCGGGAGUGGAUGGGGUGAAGGAUCUGGAGCAGGCGGUGACUUGGGAUACGAGAGUAGUGGAAAUGGCACAAACAAGUAUAACACUGCCAAGGGAACUGGUGGAGGAGCGGGAAAUUGUGUUGGUGGUGGUUCUCAAGGCGGAGCUUCAUCCGGUUCUGGAGGUGGCUAUGGCAUCGGUGCUGGUGCGAGUGGCUCGCCAUCAGCCCCUAGUGGCAAUGGGUAUGCCAAAGCUGUUGGUCAGGGUGGCGGUGGUGUAGGUGGUGGUUCAGAUGGGUCAAGCGGGUCUGGAGCCAGAAGUGGUGUUGGCAAAGGAUAUGGUGCCAAUGGCAUAGCAACCGCACCGACUCCUUCUACUGGUGGUGUCGGCUACUCUGAUGCUGGCAGUGGUGGUAACGGUGGUGGUGGCGGUGAUGGUGGAAAUGGAGGUGGUGAUGGCGUUGGAGGUGGACAGGCUGCCAGCGAUGACACUUCUGGAGGCAAUGCUAGUGGAGGGGGUAGCGGCAAUGGUGGUGGCCAAACUGGAGGUGUUGCUCAAGGUCCAAGCAUGGGAGUUGGUUCUGGCUCUGGCUCUGGGGGCGGACAAACUAGUAGCACUGGCUCCUAUGGUCAAGGCUAUGCCGUCGGAACUGGUGACGGAGCGGGUGGUGGCGGUGGCGGGAGCAACAAUGGUGGGUUUGCCAUCGGAUUCGGCAGCGGUGGAUACCCCUAA